rnacentral:lncRNA from 1 species
AGUUUGAGGGUCUUGCAGCUGCAAACCUGGAGAGGAGCUGAUGUUCUAGAUUGAGGGUCAUGCAGCUGAAGACUCGGGGAGGAGCUGAUGUUCUAGAUUAAGGGUCAUGCAGCUGAAGACUCAGGGAGGAGCUGAGGUUCUAGUUUGAGGGUCAUGCAGCUGAAGACUCGGGAGGAGCUGAGAUUCUAGUUUGAGGGUCAUGCAGCAGAAGGCUCAGGGAGGAGCUGAUGUUCUAGAUUGAGGGCCCUACAGCUGCACACCUGAAGAGGAGUUGAUGUUCGAGAUUGAGGGUCGUGCAGCUGAAUACUCAGAGAGGAGCUGAUGUUAUAGUUUGAGGGCCCUACAGCUGAAGACCCGGAGAGUAUCUGAUCUUCGAGAUUGAGGGUCGUGCAGCUGAAGACUCCAGGAGGAGCUAAGGUGGUAAUUUGAGGGUCUUGCAGCUGCUGACUUGGGGAGGAGCUGAUGUUCUAGUUUGAGGGCCCUACAGUUGGAAAUCUGUACAGGAGCUGAUGUUCUAGUUUGAGGGUCGUGCAGGUGAAGACUCGGGGAGGAGCUGAUAUUCUAGUUUGAGGGCCGUGCAGCUAGAGAUGCAGACAGGAGCUGAUGUUGUAGUUUGAGGGUCGUACAGCUGAAGAUUCAGGGAGGAGCUGCUGAUGUAUUUUUAGGGUCAUGGAGCUGCAGACCCGGAGAGGAGCUGAUGUUGUAGUUUGAGGGUCGUGCAGCUGGAGAACCAGACAGGAGCUGAUGUUGUAGAUUGAGCGUCGUGCAGCUGAAGACUCGGGGAGGAGCUGAUGUUGUUUGUUUUGAGGGUCUUUCAGCUGGAGACUCAGGGAGGAGCUGACGUUCUAGAUUGAGGGUCUUGCAGCUGCAGACCCGGAGAGGAACUGAUGUUCUAGAUUGAGGGUCACGCAGCUGAAGACUUGGGGAGAAGCUGAUGUUCUAACUUGAGGGUCGUGCAGCUGAGGACUCGGGGAGGAGCUGAUGUUGACGGCUGUGCAGGUGGAGAUCCGGCGGGGAGCUGAUGUUCUGGUUUGAGGGCCGGGGAGCUGAUGUUCCAGUUUGAUGGCCGUGCACCUGGAGACCCAGGGAGGAACAUCAAACUGGAACAUCUGCUCCCCGCAGUGCCUCCAGCUGCAUGGCUCCCAAACUGGAACAUUGGUUCCCACCCGGGUCUCCAGCUGCACGGCCCUCAAACUGCAACAUCGGCUACCCCCGAGUCUCCAGCUGCGCGGCCCUCAAACUGGAACAUCAGCUCCCCACCGGGUCUCCAGCUUCACGGCCCUCAAACUGGAACUUCAGCUCCCCACCGGGUCUCCAGCUUCACGGCCCUCAAACUGGAACUUCAGCUCCCCACCGGGUAUCCA